UUCAUAUAACAAAAACGAUGUGAGAUCGAACGGCUAAAAAUAUAGUAGUGUGCAGAAGAUCUUGACGGUUCAGAUCGCUUGAGAAAUAUGACGCGGAUCGAUGAUAACAACCGUUGAUAAACUAGGAUCCAACGAUUAACAGUCUUCCAAGAAUAGUAGCCCUAAAAAGCCCUCUUUUGUAUCGGCAGUCGCCCUCUUUUUUAAUUUGUAACCGAGAAAAAAAAACAAAAAACACAGAUCUGAGCUUUAUAUUUCUCCGUUGUAUCAUCCUCUCGAUCUCCGUAGUAGAAACCAAUCGUGAACAGAGGUUUCAACGAUGCUAAAAUACGCGUCUUAUGGGACUUGGUGGAUUUCCCAGUCCCUGAGGGUUACAGUAUUCGUGAUAUUGUUGGUUCUGUUCUGCGGAGAGAGGGUUAUACUGGUGAGUUGUCAAUCACGGCUUAUGGUGAGACGGAUCCGUAUCCGGCUGAAGACGGGUUCACCUUCGUACAGAAUAGUGAGAUUUCCUUUUGAUUUUUUUUUCUUACAAAAUAAAUUGUGUAUGUGGGGCCUGUGGCUGUAUGUAAUCUAGAGAUCUCCGUUGUUGAUAUGCAUUUCCAGGCGAUAAAUAUUUGAGACUUUCUAAGAUAUUAGUAGACGCUGCAUUCUGGGCACUGGAAAACCCUUUGCCUUAUUUAAAACCUGCACCUUCCUUGAUGGUAGUCGCAAAGAACUGCGACCAACAAACGGAGUUCGUGGAUUUUCUCCAAAAUUUGUAUAAUUUAACUUUCCAAAUUUUCUUAGUACUGCCCGAUGAUUGCUGCCCAGAAAAACUGGGAAUUCCUAAGGUAAAUUUAGCAUGGUACUGGACAAGCCUACUUGAGGGAGGAAAACCUAUCCCUCGUACCGAAUUAAAAUGCCUAUUCGCUCGAGUAAAACCAUCGCCUGCCAACAUAUUUAGGAGGAUCUGAUGCAUGCAUGGCUCCAUCGACAAUAAUGUUCUGCUUUUUUUUUUUUUUCAAAAGAUUUUUGGUUUUGUGUAUGUCGUUUGUUUGUCGUCGUCUUUUAAACUCUGUUUGCAUGAUCUGAUGUGCAAAUUAUCACUUCUCGUUUGUUUGUCGUCGUCUUUUAAACUCUGUUUUAUGUAAGUGAUAAUUUGCACGCUUUUAAGUCUGCUCAAGUAUUAUCUUUUUUAUCUGAAGCACUUUUCGGAUCA